AUUGAACGCUGGCGGCAGGCCUAACACAUGCAAGUCGAGCGGAUGAAGGGAGCUUGCUCCUGGAUUCAGCGGCGGACGGGUGAGUAAUGCCUAGGAAUCUGCCUGGUAGUGGGGGAUAACGUCCGGAAACGGGCGCUAAUACCGCAUACGUCCUGAGGGAGAAAGUGGGGGAUCUUCGGACCUCACGCUAUCAGAUGAGCCUAGGUCGGAUUGGCUAGUUGGUGGGGUAAAGGCCUACCAAGGCGACGAUCCGUAACUGGUCUGAGAGGAUGAUCAGUCACACUAGAACUGAGACACGGUCCAGACUCCUACGGGAGGCAGCAGUGGGGAAUAUUGGACAAUGGGCGAAAGCCUGAUCCAGCCAUGCCGCGUGUGUGAAGAAGGUCUUCGGAUUGUAAAGCACUUUAAGUUGGGAGGAAGGGCAGUAAGUUAAUACCUUGCUGUUUUGACGUUACCAACAGAAUAAGCACCGGCUAACUUCGUG
rnacentral:rRNA from 1 species